rnacentral:rRNA from 1 species
UACGGGGGGAGCAAGCGUUGUUCGGAUUUACUGGGCGUAAAGGGCGCGUAGGCGGCCUGUGCAAGUCAGUUGUGAAAUCUCCGGGCUUAACUCGGAAAGGUCAACUGAUACUGCUCGGCUAGAGUGCGGAAGGGGCAACUGGAAUUCUCGGUGUAGCGGUGAAAUGCGUAGAUAUCGAGAGGAACACCUGCGGCGAAGGCGGGUUGCUGGGCUGACACUGACGCUGAAGCGCGAAAGCUAGGGGAGCGAACGGG